AGUGAACGCUGGCGGCGUGCUUAACACAUGCAAGUCGAACGAGAACGGAAUAUAGCUUGCUAUAUUUGUCAGCUAAGUGGCGCACGGGUGAGUAAUGUAUAGAUAACCUGCCCUUAAGAAAGGAAUAACAGUUGGAAACGGCUGCUAAUGCCCUAUAUGCCUUUAAUACAUAAGUAUGCAAGGGAAACGCUUUAGUGCUUAAGGAUGGGUCUGUAUGGUAUCAGCUUGUUGGUGAGGUAAUGGCUCACCAAGGCUAUGACGCCUAACUGGUUUGAGAGGAUGAUCAGUCACACUGGAACUGAGACACGGUCCAGACUCCUACGGGAGGCAGCAGUGGGGAAUAUUGCACAAUGGACGAAAGUUUGAUGCAGCAACGCCGCGUGGAGGAUGACACAUUUCGGUGCGUAAACUCCUUUUAUAUAGGAAGAUAAUGACGGUACUAUAUGAAUAAGCACCGGCUAACUCCGUGCCAGCAGCCGCAGUAAUAC
rnacentral:rRNA from 1 species